AUUGAACGCUGGCGGCAGGCCUAACACAUGCAAGUCGAACGGUAACAGGAAUCAGCUUGCUGAUUCGCUGACGAGUGGCGGACGGGUGAGUAAUGUCUGGGAAACUGCCUGAUGGAGGGGGAUAACUACUGGAAACGGUAGCUAAUACCGCAUAACGUCGCAAGACCAAAGAGGGGGACCUUCGGGCCUCUUGCCAUCGGAUGUGCCCAGAUGGGAUUAGUUAGUAGGUGGGGUAAAGGCUCACCUAGGCGACGAUCCCUAGCUGGUCUGAGAGGAUGACAAGCCACACUGGAACUGAGACACGGUCCAGACUCCUACGGGAGGCAGCAGUGGGGAAUAUUGCACAAUGGGCGCAAGCCUGAUGCAGCCAUGCCGCGUGUAUGAAGAAGGCCUUCGGGUUGUAAAGUACUUUCAGCGGGGAGGAAGGGAGUAAAGUUAAUACCUUUGCUCAUUGACGUUACCCGCAGAAGAAGCACCGGCUAACUCCGUG
rnacentral:rRNA from 1 species